CAGUCGCCGCGGGAACACGAAGGGUGCAAGCGUUAAUCGGAAUUACUGGGCGUAAAGCGUGCGUAGGCGGUUUGUUAAGUCUGUUGUGAAAUCCCCGGGCUCAACCUGGGAAUGGCAAUGGAUACUGGCAAGCUAGAGUGUGUCAGAGGAUGGUGGAAUUCCCGGUGUAGCGGUGAAAUGCGUAGAGAUCGGGAGGAACAUCAGUGGUGAAGGCGGCCAUCUGGGACAACACUGACGCUGAGGCACGAAAGCGUGGGGAGCAAACAGGAUUAGAUACCCCAGUAGUCCCUGUCUCUUAUAC
rnacentral:rRNA from 1 species